UCUAAUGUGGCAGAAUAGUGCCAUGGAUUUAAACCCCAUUUAUAAAGUUAGCCUUUCUUUAGAA
rnacentral:tRNA from 1 species